UACGAGAGGUCCAAACGUUAUUCGGAAUCACUGGGCUUACAGAGUUCGUAGGCGGUACGGAACGUGGGGUGUGAAAGCCCUCGGCUCAACCGAGGAACUGCGCUCCAAACUACCGUGCUAGAGGAAGAUAGAGGUGAGCAGAACUGAUGGUGGAGCGGUGAAAUGCGUUGAUAUCAUCAGGAAUACCGGAGGCGAAGGCGGCUCACUGGGUCUUUUCUGACGCUGAGGAACGAAAGCUAGGGGAGCAAACGGG
rnacentral:rRNA from 1 species